AACGAACGCUGGCGGCAUGCCUAACACAUGCAAGUCGAACGAGACCUUCGGGUCUAGUGGCGCACGGGUGCGUAACGCGUGGGAAUCUACCCUUGGGUUCGGAAUAACUCAGAGAAAUUUGAGCUAAUACCGGAUGAUGUCGAAAGACCAAAGAUUUAUCGCCCAAGGAUGAGCCCGCGUAGGAUUAGCUAGUUGGUGAGGUAAAGGCUCACCAAGGCAACGAUCCUUAGCUGGUCUGAGAGGAUGAUCAGCCACACUGGGACUGAGACACGGCCCAGACUCCUACGGGAGGCAGCAGUGGGGAAUAUUGGACAAUGGGCGAAAGCCUGAUCCAGCAAUGCCGCGUGAGUGAUGAAGGGCCUUAGGGUUGUAAAAGCUCUUUUAGCAGGGAAGAAGCGAAAAGUUGACGGUACCUGCAG
rnacentral:rRNA from 1 species